UUAAGUUCAGCGGGUAGUCCUACCUGAUUUGAGGUCAGAGUCAAAAAAUGCGCAAAGGCAGGUUGUGAGCAGGCUUACACAGGCAAGGGACAAGACGAAACUUAUUACGUCUGUCACGGAUGCAAGUGAUCCCACUAAGUCAUUUGAGGCGAGCCGAGUAACCGGCAGACGCCCAUGUCCAAGUCCACACCUGAUCAUAA
rnacentral:misc_RNA from 1 species